rnacentral:rRNA from 1 species
GACAGUACUCCUACGGGGAGGCAGCAGUGGGGGAAUAUUGCACAAUGGGCGCAAGCCUGAUGCAGCCAUGCCGCGUGUGUGAAGAAGGCCUUCGGGUUGUAAAGCACUUUCAGUCGUGAGGAAGGUAGUGUAGUUAAUAGCUGCAUUAUUUGACGUUAGCGACAGAGAAGCACCGGCUAACUCCGUGCCAGCAGCCGCGGUAAUACGGAGGGUGCGAGCGUUAAUCGGAAUUACUGGGCGUAAAGCGCAUGCAGGUGGUUUGUUAAGUCAGAUGUGAAAGCCCGGGGCUCAACCUCGGAAUAGCAUUUGAAACUGGCAGACUAGAGUACUGUAGAGGGGGGUAGGAAUUUCAGGUGUAGCGGUGAAAUGCGUAGAGAUCUGAAGGAAUACCGGUGGCGAAGGCGGCCCCCUCGGACAGAUACUGACACUCAGAUGCGAAAGCGUGGGGAGCAAACAGGAUUAGAUACCCUGGUAG